CAGGAUUAGAUACCCUGGUAGUCCACGCCGUAAACGAUGUCUACUUGGAGGUUGUGCCCUUGAGGCGUGGCUUCCGGAGCUAACGCGUUAAGUAGACCGCCUGGGGAGUACGGCCGCAAGGUUAAAACUCAAAUGAAUUGACGGGGGCCCGCACAAGCGGUGGAGCAUGUGGUUUAAUUCGAUGCAACGCGAAGAACCUUACCUGGUCUUGACAUCCACAGAAGAAUCCAGAGAUGGAUUUGUGCCUUCGGGAACUGUGAGACAGGUGCUGCAUGGCUGUCGUCAGCUCGUGUUGUGAAAUGUUGGGUUAAGUCCCGCAACGAGCGCAACCCUUAUCCUUUGUUGCCAGCGAUUAGGUCGGGAACUCAAAGGAGACUGCCAGUGAUAAACUGGAGGAAGGUGGGGAUGACGUCAAGUCAUCAUGGCCCUUACGACCAGGGCUACACACGUGCUACAAUGGCGCAUACAAAGAGAAGCGACCUCGCGAGAGCAAGCGGACCUCAUAAAGUGCGUCGUAGUCCGGAUUGGAGUCUGCAACUCGACUCCAUGAAGUCGGAAUCGCUAGUAAUCGUGGAUCAGAAUGCCACGGUGAAUACGUUCCCGGGCCUUGUACACACCGCCCGUCACACCAUGGGAGUGGGUUGCAAAAGAAGUAGGUAGCUUAACCUUCGGGAGGGCGCUUACCACUUUGUGAUUCAUGACUGGGGUGAAGUCGUAACAAGGUAACCGUAGGGGAACCUGCGGUUGGAUCACCUCCUUACCUUAAAGAA
rnacentral:rRNA from 1 species